AGAUGUACUGCUGCUGUUUGGAUUCAGGAUCGGCAGACAGAGCGGUCUUGGGCUUCCCUUUCAGUCGUCCCUAAACCCGGGAUGUUUCGUCUUGCUCUGCUGCUUUUCCUUCAUGAGGUGGCCGUGCAAUGUAGCGGCAGCGAGGCGCCUCAGAUGCUGGACGUCGUGGUGGAGCGCUACCACAUGCCCAAACGAUGCCCCCGCGAAGUCCAAACGGAGGACUUUGUCCGGUACCACUUCAACGGAACUUUCCAGUCCAACGGCAAACUCUUUGACUCGAGUCACGUCCGACGUAAGGCGUAUGUCAGUCAGGUGGGAGUGGGUCGUCUGAUCCACGGAAUGGACCGCGGCCUAUUGGGCGCCUGCGUCAACGAGCGCCGUCGCGUCAUCGUCCCGCCGCACCUGGCCUACGGGAGCGUGGGAACAGGUGGCGUGAUCCCGCCGGACGCUAUCUUGGUGUACGACCUUCUGCUGCUGGACAUUUGGAACUCUCAGGACAAAAUUGAAAUCCGUACGCUCAGCAAACCCAAACGAUGUGCCCGCGCUGCCGCCGCCUCCGAUUUCGUGCGCUACCACUACAACGGCACCUUGCUCUCCGGGGAGACCUUUCUCUCCAGCCACACUAAGAACGCGACGUACGACACGUACUUGGGCAAAGGUGACCUGAUCGAGGGCAUGGAGCAAGGCCUGCUGGGAAUGUGCGUCGCAGAAAGACGAGUUGUCAUUAUUCCGCCGUUUUUGGCCUAUGGAGAGAAAGGACACGGAAAGGCAGUGCCCCCUCAGGCUACGCUGGUGUUUGAGGUUCUGAUGGUGGAUGUGUUCAACCCAAAAGAUGACCUCGUGUCGGAAGUCCUGGAGGUUCCGGAAGGCUGCGAGCGCCGCAGCGUCGCAGAGGACUUCAUGCGCUACCACUACAACGGGACCUUCCAGGACGGCACCGCCUUUGACUCCAGCUACCGGAGGAACAGUACGUACAACACCUACAUAGGUCAAGGUUACGUCAUCGCUGGCGUAGAUCGAGCCCUGCAGGGUCUGUGCAUGGGUGAGAAGAGGAAGGUGGUGGUCCCGCCUCACCUGGCAUACGGAGGAGAAGGUGUCCGCGAUCUGAUCCCCGGAUCGGCUGUGCUAGUGUUCCACAUCCACGUGCUGGACUUCCACCAUCCCGACGACCCGGUGGAUGUAAAAGUUGUCCGCCGGGCGGAGGGCUGCGGGCCCGUCAGCCAAGAGGACGACUGGCUCCGCUACCGCUACAACUGCUCGCUGAUGGACGGCACGCUCCUGUACUCCUCGUGAGCGCCCGCUCUUCGCUCCCUGCAUGGACUCGCUCUGCUACUCUUUCUGUUUCCGGGGCAACAGCACGUAAUGCCCGCAUGGCACCAAGGGACCAGUACGACUCCCCGUCCGUCACCACGCUGGGAGCCAACGAGGUCAUCCCGGGUCUGGAGCAAGGCUUGAUGGGCAUGUGCGUGGGCGAGGCCCGGGAGGUGGUGGUCCCACCGCACUGG